rnacentral:rRNA from 1 species
UACGUAGGGUGCAAGCGUUGUCCGGAAUUAUUGGGCGUAAAGAGCUCGUAGGCGGUUUGUUGCGUCGGCUGUGAAAUCCCGAGGCUCAACCUCGGGUCUGCAGUCGAUACGAGCAAACUAGAGUGUUGCAGGGGAGACUGGAAUUCCUGGUGUAGCGGUGAAAUGCGCAGAUAUCAGGAGGAACACCGGUGGCGAAGGCAGCUCUCUGGGACGGUACUGACGCUGAGACGCGAAAGCGUGGGGAGCGAACAGG